UAAUACGAAGGGUGCAAGCGUUACUCGGAAUUACUGGGCGUAAAGCGUGCGUAGGUGGUCGUUUAAGUCUGUUGUGAAAGCCCUGGGCUCAACCUGGGAACUGCAGUGGAAACUGGACGACUAGAGUGUGGUAGAGGGUAGCGGAAUUCCUGGUGUAGCAGUGAAAUGCGUAGAGAUCAGGAGGAACAUCCAUGGCGAAGGCAGCUACCUGGACCAACACUGACACUGAGGCACGAAAGCGUGGGGAGCAAACAGGAUUAGAUACCCUGGUAGUCCACGCCCUAAACGAUGCGAACUGGAUGUUGGGUGCAAUUUGGCACGCAGUAUCGAAGCUAACGCGUUAAGUUCGCCGCCUGGGGAGUACGGUCGCAAGACUGAA
rnacentral:rRNA from 1 species